UACGAAGGGGGCUAGCGUUGCUCGGAAUUACUGGGCGUAAAGGGAGCGUAGGCGGACAUUUAAGUCAGGGGUGAAAUCCCAGAGCUCAACUCUGGAACUGCCUUUGAUACUGGGUGUCUUGAGUGUGAUAGAGGUAUGUGGAACUCCGAGUGUAGAGGUGAAAUUCGUAGAUAUUCGGAAGAACACCAGUGGCGAAGGCGACAUACUGGAUCAUUACUGACGCUGAGGCUCGAAAGCGUGGGGAGCAAACAGGAUUAGAUACCCUGGUAGUCCACGCCGUAAACGAUGAUUGCUAGUUGUCGGGAUGUUUACAUCUCGGUGACGCAGCUAACGCAUUAAGCAAUCCGCCUGGGGAGUACGGUCGCAAGAUUA
rnacentral:rRNA from 1 species